CUACUUCCGGUUCUCUGCCGCUGCCAUGUUGGAACAGGUCCCGAACGGUUGGGCUGAAAAUAGAAAAUGCCAGACCUCAGUGCUGUCAUGGGAUUUACUAAUGAUAGAAAAAUCAAAACCAAGCCACAGGGAGACACAUUUCACAGACAGACUUGGUUUGUGCACAGAAGCAUGGACAGCACUUUUGAGGAGAAGGGACUUUGAGGAAAUGACCAUUGAGUUCUCUGCAGCUGUCAGUUCAAGACUGAAGACUUUGACAUGACUGGACAGAAAACUCAUCUAAAGGAGGGAGUGACCGUGUCACUUCCUGACCAUCUUUGGAAAGUGUCCAGUAGAUCCAGGUCAAGCGGGACCUAACAAAAAGCUGCUGCAGAGGACCUUCAGGAGUCAGUAUUAGUAUGCCCUUGACCCAGCUGAAGUUAAAAGACAAGUAACUGAAGCUCAAGAGAAGGUUAAUUGUGUCAGGACCUAAGAAAUGCCACGGAUCGGGAAAGAAGGCACAAGAAGAAGCAAAGUCCCUGCAAGAGGAUUUAAAACACAAAAAUAGAGAGAUACUGCAGCAGAAGCUUGACUUCUACUCUGGUAUGUUGAACUGCUCAGCCCCUUCUUUCAAC